UGGGGAACUUUGCACAAUGGGGGAAACUCUGAUGCAGCGACGCCGCGUGAUUUAGAAGGCCUUCGGGUUGUAAAAAUCUUUUCUACGGGAAGAAAAUGACAGUACCAUAGGAAUAAGGACCGGCUAAUUACGUGCCAGCAGCCGCGGUAAUACGUAAGGUCCGUGCGUAUUCCGGAAUCAUUGGGCGUAAAGGGUACGUAGGCGGGUAAGCAAGUUAGAAGUGAAAUCCUAUAGCGCAACUUUAGUAAGCUUUUAAAACUGCUCAUCUGGAGGUAUGGAAGGGAAAGUGGAAUUCCUAGUGUAGCGGUGAAAUGAGCAGAUAUUAGGAGGAGGACCGGUGGCGGAGACGACUUUCUGGCCAUAACCUGACGCUGAGGUAAGAAAGCGUGGGUAGCAGAGAGG
rnacentral:rRNA from 1 species